rnacentral:rRNA from 1 species
AUUGAACGCUGGCGGCAUGCUUUACACAUGCAAGUCGGACGGCAGCACAGAGAAGCUUGCUUCUUGGGUGGCGAGUGGCGAACGGGUGAGUAAUAUAUCGGAACGUACCGAGUAAUGGGGGAUAACUAAUCGAAAGAUUAGCUAAUACCGCAUAUUCUCUGAGGAGGAAAGCAGGGGACCUUCGGGCCUUGCGUUAUUCGAGCGGCCGAUAUCUGAUUAGCUAGUUGGUGGGGUAAAGGCCUACCAAGGCGACGAUCAGUAGCGGGUCUGAGAGGAUGAUCCGCCACACUGGGACUGAGACACGGCCCAGACUCCUACGGGAGGCAGCAGUGGGGAAUUUUGGACAAUGGGCGCAAGCCUGAUCCAGCCAUGCCGCGUGUCUGAAGAAGGCCUUCGGGUUGUAAAGGACUUUUGUCAGGGAAGAAAAGGCUGUUGCUAAUAUCAAUAGCUGAUGACGGUGCCUGAAGAAUAAGCACCGGCUAACUACGUG